UUGAAAUCUAGUGAUCAGCGAGAUGAAAUUGCUGCAGCACGUGCAACCCUGAAAGAAAAUUCUUCUCUUCUUCAUUCAAUAUGUUCAGCUUGUUUGGAACAUUCAGAUGUUGCAUCCCUUACAGCCAGCAAGGAUUCAAUUUGUAAUGAAAUACAAAAUGCCCUCAAUGUAAUUUCUAAUGCUUCCCAAGGAGUUGGGAAUAAAAAGGGACAACCUGCAUCUUACAGAGCUACUCUAGGAAGUGCACUUGAAGAGCUUGAGCAUUUGAUUAUCCAGGACCCUCUUGUAGUGAGUGAAGAGAAAAUAAGGCCAUCGCUUGAGAAACGUUUGGAAGCUAUUAUCAGUGGAGCAGCUUUGCUAGCUGAUUCUUCCUGCACACGUGAUUUCCAUCGAGAGCGCAUCAUUGCUGAGUGCAACGCUAUCCGUCAAGCUCUCCAAGACCUGCUUUCUGAAUACAUAAACAAUGUUGAAAGGAAAACUUGUCUAUUUAAAUUUAACCCAAACCUGAGUAUGGACCUCCAGAAUGAGUAAAAAUUCAAUUAUAUCAUACAGUCUAUGGAAAGUGCUGUAUAACAGGCCUGUUAUUCCAAGGCUACUUAGCCCCCUGAGGUGGAAUACAGAGAUGGGAAGAGAAUAAAUUCCCCACAAUUCAGAAGGAGCAGUUAGAGACCUGCUACUCUACCUGGACAAUCACAGGGGCUGGGUGGUAUUCACCCAAAGGUACUGAAGGUGGUGAGUAAUCUGUUUUCUCUCAUUUAUCAGCAGUCCUGGUCAACUGGAGAGGUCCCAGAUGACUGGAGACUUUCUAAUGUGAUGCCCAUCUAUGAUAAAGAUUAGAAGGAGGAUCCAGGGAGCUAUAGGUCUGUUAGCCUGAUCUCAGUGUUGGGGAAGGUUAUGAAGC